rnacentral:rRNA from 1 species
CCUACGGGUGGCAGCAGUGAGGAAUAUUGGUCAAUGGGCGCGAGCCUGAACCAGCCAAGUCGCGUGAGGGAAUACGGCCCUACGGGUUGUAAACCUCUUUUGCCGGGGAGCAACGGGCGCCACGCGUGGCGCCACUGAGAGUACCCGGAGAAAAAGCAUCGGCUAACACCGUGCCAGCAGCCGCGGUAAUACGGAGGAUGCGAGCGUUAUCCGGAUUUAUGGGGGUUAAAGGGUGCGUAGCCGGAGCGUUAAGGAAGUGGUAAAAUUGAGGGGCUAAACCCCUUCCCGCCAUUGAAACUGGCGCUCUUGAGUGGAAGAGAAGUAUGCGGAAUGCGUGGUGUAGCGGUGAAAUGCAUAGAUAUCACGCAGAACCCCGAUUGCGAAGGCAGCAUGCCGGCUUCCGACUGACGCUGAAGCACGAAAGCGUGGGGAUCGAACAGGAUUAGAUACCCGAGUAGUC